rnacentral:misc_RNA from 1 species
UCUGCUUUUUUUUGUUGUCCACCUUAAGAAUCUUCACUGCACAAGACACUCUAACCCCAGCUCAAUCCAUGAAGGAUGAUGAGACUCUGGUUUCAGCCGAUGGGAAAUUUGAGCUUGGAUUCUUCAGCCAAGAUAAUUCAAGUGGCAGCAGAUAUUUGGGAAUUUGGUAUAGGAAAAUACCGAUCAGGACAGUUGUGUGGGUAGCCAACAGAGAAAACCCAUUUUCAAACACGUUAGGAGUUCUAAAAGUGAAUGAGCAAGGAUUUCUGAUCCUUCAGAAUAGCACAAAUGGUGUCGUUUGGUCAUCCAAUACAUCAAGCACCCCACAGAAUCCAGUUGCGCAGCUCUUAGAUUCGG